AACGAACGCUGGCGGCAGGCUUAACACAUGCAAGUCGAGCGCCCCGCAAGGGGAGCGGCAGACAGGUGAGUAACGCGUGGGAAUCUACCCAUCUCUACGGAAUAACGCAUGGAAACGUGUGCUAAUACCGUAUACGUCAUUCGGGAGAAAGAUUUAUCGGAGAUGGAUGAGCCCGCGUUGGAUUAGCUAGUUGGUGGGGUAAAGGCCUACCAAGGCGACGAUCCAUAGCUGGUCUGAGAGGAUGAUCAGCCACACUGGGACUGAGACACGGCCCAGACUCCUACGGGAGGCAGCAGUGGGGAAUAUUGGACAAUGGGCGCAAGCCUGAUCCAGCCAUGCCGCGUGAGUGAUGAAGGCCCUAGGGUUGUAAAGCUCUUUCACCGGUGAAGAUAAUGACGGUAACCGGAGAAGAAGCCCCGGCUAACUUCGUGCCAGCAGCCGCAGUAAUAC
rnacentral:rRNA from 1 species